UGGGGGAUAUUGCACAAUGGGCGAAAGCCUGAUGCAGCGACGCCGCGUGGGGGAUGAAGGCUUUCGGGUUGUAAACCUCUUUCGCUAUCGAACAAGGCCCGCUUAGGGUGGGUUGAGGGUAGGUGGAGAAGAAGCGCCGGCUAACUACGUGCCAGCAGCCGCGGUAAUACGUAGGGCGCGAGCGUUGUCCGGAAUUAUUGGGCGUAAAGGGCUUGUAGGCGGCUUGUUGCGCCUGCUGUGAAAACGCGGGGCUUAACCUCGCGCGUGCAGUGGGUACGGGCAGGCUUGAGUAUGGUAGGGGUGACUGGAAUUCCAGGUGUAGCGGUGGAAUGCGCAGAUAUCUGGAGGAACACCGAUGGCGAAGGCAGGUCACUGGGCCAUUACUGACGCUGAGGAGCGAAAGCAUGGGUAGCGAACAGG
rnacentral:rRNA from 1 species